CAGUCAUCCGCUUGCAAAUACAUGUCUUCCUUAACCGGUAGACUGUAUAAGUAAGCAAUUUACCUUGAGAAAAACAGAGUGUUCCAGGCAGGUUUGUCCGGAAUGCAUUAGCAUGGAAUAAUAGAAUAUGACUAGAGUCGAUUUGUUAGGUUAAAGGUCUUUAGUAAUGAUUAAUAGGAACAAGUCGGGGGCAGUUGGUACUCGUCAGUCAGAGGUGAAAUUCUAAGAUUUGACGAAGACUAACUGAUGCGAAAAGCGUUUGCCAAGAAUGUUUUCAUUAAUCAAGAACGAAAGUUAGGGGAUCAAAGACGAUUAGAUACCGUCCUAGUCUUAACUAUAAAACUAUACCGACUCGGAUUCAGAUGAAUAUUAAAGUUCAUUUGGGACCGUAGGAGAAAUCAAAGUCUUUGGGUUCUGGGGGG
rnacentral:rRNA from 1 species